GAUGAACGCUGGCGGCGUGCCUAAUACAUGCAAGUCGAGCGAACAGACGAGGAGCUUGCUCUUCUGACGUUAGCGGCGGACGGGUGAGUAACACGUGGAUAACCUACCUAUAAGACUGGGAUAACUUCGGGAAACCGGCGCUAAUACCGGAUAAUAUAUUGAACCGCAUGGUUCAAUAGUUAAAGACGGUUUUGCUGUCACUUAUAGAUGGAUCCGCGUCGCAUUAGCUAGUUGGUAAGGUAACGGCUUACCAAGGCGACGAUGCGUAGCCGACCUGAGAGGGUGAUCGGCAACACUGGAACUGAGACACGGUCCAGACUCCUACGGGAGGCAGCAGUAGGGAAUCUUCCGAAAUGGGCGAAAGCCUGACGGAGCAACGCCGCGUGAGUGAUGAAGGUCUUCGGAUCGUAAAACUCUGUUAUUAGGGAAGAACAAAUGUGUAAGUAACUAUGCACGUCUUGACGGUACCUAAUCAGAAAGCCACGGCUAACUACGUG
rnacentral:rRNA from 1 species